rnacentral:lncRNA from 1 species
AAAUUACAAAAUCCGAACCAAACAGAUACAAUGGCAUUUUUUGUAAUUUCACAUAACAUAUAUACACAAUUACACAUGUUUGCACCACUCUCGGUCUUUACUCUUUACUCUCUCACUUCCAAUUUCAGCAGCCACAAACCUAAACCCUAAGUCCCACCUUUGCAACCAAAUCCAAGUCUGCAGGUGGCCGCCAUUGCCGAAUCUUCAUUGCCGACCAUCCGCUGUUGUUGCUGUUUCCUUCCAUCAUUUCUGUCGCCAGCUAGCCAGUCAAAUAACUUUGUUUUCCUUUUUUUCUUUUAAAUGGCUAUUUUUUAAGUCUUUUUUAAUUUCGUGUUUGCCUUAUUUUAUUUAUUGUAAUAAAUUAUUAUUAGUAUUUGGUUUUA